rnacentral:rRNA from 1 species
UACGAAGGGGGCUAGCGUUGCUCGGAAUCACUGGGCGUAAAGCGCACGUAGGCGGAUUGUUAAGUCGGGGGUGAAAUCCUGGAGCUCAACUCCAGAACUGCCUUCGAUACUGACGAUCUCGAGUCCGGGAGAGGUGAGUGGAACUCCGAGUGUAGAGGUGAAAUUCGUAGAUAUUCGGAAGAACACCAGUGGCGAAGGCGGCUCACUGGCUCGAUACUGACGCUGAGGUGCGAAAGCGUGGGGAGCAAACAGG